AGAAUCAACGCUGGCGGCGUGCCUAACACAUGCAAGUCGAACGAGAAAGUGGAGCAAUCCAUGAGUAAAGUGGCGCACGGGUGAGUAACACGUGACUAACCUACCCUUGAGUGGGGGAUAACCUAGGGAAACCUGGGCUAAUACCGCAUAAUACCUUCGGGUCAAAAGGAGCAAUUCGCUUAAGGAGGGGGUCGCGGCCGAUUAGUUAGUUGGCGGGGUAAUGGCCCACCAAGACUGUGAUCGGUAU
rnacentral:rRNA from 1 species